rnacentral:rRNA from 1 species
AUUGAACGCUGGCGGCAUGCUUUACACAUGCAAGUCGAACGGUAACAGGGAGCUUGCUCCGCUGACGAGUGGCGAACGGGUGAGUAAUGCAUCGGAACGUACCCAGUCGUGGGGGAUAACGUAGCGAAAGUUACGCUAAUACCGCAUACGUCCUGAGGGAGAAAGCGGGGGACCGUAAGGCCUCGCGCGAUUGGAGCGGCCGAUGUCGGAUUAGCUAGUUGGUAGGGUAAAGGCCUACCAAGGCGACGAUCCGUAGCGGGUCUGAGAGGAUGAUCCGCCACACUGGGACUGAGACACGGCCCAGACUCCUACGGGAGGCAGCAGUGGGGGAAUUUUG